rnacentral:tRNA from 1 species
UCCGAUAUGGUCUAGUGGCUAGGAUACAUCGCUCUCACUUCCUUUAGGAAAUUGAUCCGAUGUGGCCCGGGUUCGAUUCCCGGUGUCGGAA